rnacentral:rRNA from 1 species
AUUGAACGCUGGCGGCAUGCUUUACACAUGCAAGUCGAACGGUAACAGGCCGCAAGGUGCUGACGAGUGGCGAACGGGUGAGUAAUGCAUCGGAACGUGCCCAGUCGUGGGGGAUAACGCAGCGAAAGCUGUGCUAAUACCGCAUACGAUCUAUGGAUGAAAGCGGGGGACCGUAAGGCCUCGCGCGAUUGGAGCGGCCGAUGUCAGAAUAGGUAGUUGGUGGGGUAAAGGCCUAACAAGCCGACGAUCUGUAGCUGGUCUGAGAGGACGAGCAGCCAAACUGGGACAGAGACACGGCCCAGACUCCUACGGGAGGCAGCAGUGGGGAAGUUUGGACAAUGGGCGCAAGCCUGAUCCAGCAAUGCCGCGUGCAGGAAGAAGGCCUUCGGGUUGUAAACUUCUUUUGUACGGAACGAAACGGCCUGGGUUAAUACCCUGGGCUAAUGACGGUACCGUAAGAAUAAGCACCGGCUAACUACGUGCCAGCAGCCGCAGUAACAC